UAGCCGGCUGUCGCAGCCAUAGUCUGCAGGCUAAUGUAGGUCACGCUAAACUUGCGCUAUCACGGUCGGGUGGCCGGGUUUUAAAAGUGCAGGAGGCGAGUAAACAAAACCAAAGCGCAGCCGGGUUCAUAAGGGGGCCGGGUCAGGAGGGGAGGGGGGAAACCAAGCCGUGACUCAGCCGCCUCGUCUGCAGGGACACUGCGUCGGCACGUCGCCCGACCUCCGCACCCUCGGCAAGGCGCGGUAGAGAAGUGGCCUAAACCAGCUCUCCAGCAACCGGUAUCUGGGAGGAAAUAUCAACUCAUCCCUGCUGCUUUCCAAGGCCACUUCAGGACAAAGGGGGGAAAGGACACACUCCGAUAGAAUGGAGGCCGCAGAAGAAGUAAUUUCAAAUGAAAAUUUCGACACAGUUCUAUUUUCGAGUUGCGGCUGAAGAUUGCAGGAGUUGAAGUAUCCUAUGAGGAGAACUCAGGCUGUAGGAAACACCAAGCAAUUUCGGGGCUCAUUGGUGCCCAAACGGCUUCCACUGUAGCACAUGCCAACACCAGUCUGCCACCUGAAGGCACCUGGGUACCAGGACGACUAACGAGCCGGAAAUGCCAAGAAAAAGUGGAAAUUACAGAACGGCAGAGUCAGGAAGACAGAUAUGUGGGAACAGACCCUUAUUUAGAGCUAUAACCAUCUCAUGUUACGGGACGUGAAACAAAACAGCAACAAAAAUCUUAACAUAUAUCAUUAUAUUACAGCUUUAAUAGCUUCUGGGCAUAAACAUUUUUCUGAAUCUGAACAGAGCCUUGAUAAGGCUACAGCAGUCCACUGAGAAGGUUCCACUAUCCAUUUU